UCCAUCCUUGAUCAAAGAAUAGAGCUGUUCUUGGCUUCUGAACCGAAAUCUGUCUAUUGGUGCGAGAGAUACCCUGCAGGAAGACCGUUGUUGGAGUCCUCCUUGAAAGGAAGUGCCAUGCGCUAGAACAUGAGCUUGGAGGAGUCAGCAAAAGACAAGUGAUGGGCUUUCAAGAUGAGAUGGAACCAAUGGAUUCAGACCUCUUAUGUGAAUCAAAGCUUUGCUUAAGCCAAGGAACUUAGCAGCAGCAAGCCAAGGAAUAUGUAAAAUGCUUAUUUUUUAUAAUGUGUUUUAUUUUGAGCCAUACAAGCUACAUUUUGAAGGAUAGAUAACUUGGGUAGAAUAUUGGUUUCUCCCUAGAGUUUACUACUAUCAGUGAAAGAAUGUGUUACCUGUAGCUUCAAAAAAGGGUCACUAUUACCCUUAUCACAUAUCUGAAUAUCAAGUUCAAAUUCAGGCAGUUUUACUUGAACAACUGGGAUUUUAAGAGAAUUUCAAUCAUUGCUUUAAAAAAAAAAAAAAAAAAAAAGGUUGCAAAGUGGAACUUCCCUGGUGGUCCAGUGGUAAAGAAUCCACCCUCCAGUGCAGGAAACAAGGGUUCAAUUAUUGGUUCCCUACACCAGGAACUAAGAUACCACACACGGCAGGACAAAUAAGUCCUCCUACCACAACUAGAGAAACCAGCGAGCCUCAAUGAAGAGCCUCCACACUGCAACGAAGAUCCAGCACAGCCAAAAAUUUAAAAUGAAUAAAUAAAAACUGAAAAAUUGUAAAGUACACCAACAGAAUUGCAAUAACACUAGUGAUUUUCAACUGUAUUUGGGGGUAUUAGUGAAAGGAAAAUUAUGUUUUCAAAUGACACAUGCUCCACACUCCUUUAAGUUCUCUCCUGUCUCUUUGAGACUGUUCUGUCCACCUUGAGAAUAAAGAGAUAGAUUAUUGACUAUUAUACUUGCAAAUAGUGUUUUGUCAACAAAAAGAUUGUGAAUUGUAUACUUUACAAUUAUUUCAUGAAGAUUUUAAGAUGUCUUCAGAAUCAUCAGGCUUAUUUAAUCACUGACAUAAUCAGAUGGCAAAAAAAAUAUAUGAUAAUUCAAAUGUUCAAAUUUUUUUUAGUUAAAAACUUUAAAAGGAAUGUUGGUAUAUUAUACUUCAGUGGCCUAUGAUAUUAAUUAAGAUAUUAAAAUUUCCUUUCGACUCUAUUUCACUAAGUUCUACUUUAAACAGAAAAAAUAAUUACUUUGGUAAAAUGCCUAGAGAGUAAACAUUUUUGCUCAAGUC